CACGUAGGGGGCAAGCGUUGUCCGGAUUUAUUGGACGUAAAGAGCUCGUAGGUGGUUCGAUAAGUCGGGUGUGAAACCUCCAGGCUCAACCUGGAGACGCCACCCGAUACUGUCGUGACUAGAGUCCAGUAGGGGAGCGUGGAAUUCCUGGUGUAGCGGUGAGAUGCGCAGAUAUCAGGAGGAACACCAGCGGCGAAGGCGGCGCUCUGGGCUGGCACUGACACUGAGGAGCGAAAGCGUGGGUAGCAAACAGG
rnacentral:rRNA from 1 species